UACGUAGGUGGCAAGCGUUGUCCGGAUUUACUGGGCGUAAAGAGCGCGCAGGCGGUCGUUCAAGUCGCGUGUGAAAGCCCCCGGCUCAACUGGGGAGGGUCACGCGAUACUGAUCGACUGGAAGGCAGGAGAGGGAAGCGGAAUUCCCGGUGUAGUGGUGAAAUGCGUAGAUAUCGGGAGGAAUACCUAUGGCGAAAGCAGGCUUCUGGUCCAUCACUGACGCUGAUCUGCGAAAGCUAGGGGAGCAAACAGG
rnacentral:rRNA from 1 species